rnacentral:rRNA from 1 species
CCUACGGGAUGCACCAGUGAGGAAUAUUGGGCAAUGGGCGCAAGCCUGACCCAGCAAUGCCGCGUGAAGGAUGACGCCCCUCGGGGUGUAAACUUCUUUUAGGGGGGAGGAGCAAGGACCGUACCCCCUGAAUCAGUCACGGCUAACUACGUGCCAGCAGCCGCGGUAAUACGUAGGUGGCGAACGUUAUCCGGAAUUACUGGGCGUAAAGGGUCCGCAGGCGGAUCACCAAGUCCGGCGUGAAAGCUCCCGGCUCAACUGGGAGAGGGCGUUGGAAACUGGCGAUCUGGAAUCACACAGAGGUCGGUGGAAUUCCCGGUGUAGUGGUGGAAUGCGUAGAGAUCGGGAGGAACCUCGAAAGCGAAGGCAACCGGCUGGGUGAGGAUUGACGCUGAGGGACGAAAGCGUGGGGAGCGAACAGGAUUAGAUACCCGGGUAGUC